UACAGGGGGUGCAAGCGUCGCUCGGAAUUACUGGGCGUAAAGCGAGCGCAGGCGGCCGAUUAAGUCAGAGGUGAAAGCCCGGGGCUCAACCCCGGAAAUGCCUUUGAAACUGGUAGGCUUGAAUGCAGGAGAGGGUCGCGGAAUUCUUGGUGUAGAGGUGAAAUUCGUAGAUAUCUGGAGGAACACCGGUGGCGAAGGCGGCAUCCUGGACCGACACUGACACUGAGGAGCGAAAGCCAGGGGAGCAAACGGG
rnacentral:rRNA from 1 species